CUGAUCAGAACCACUUCAUGUAGU
rnacentral:piRNA from 1 species